rnacentral:pre_miRNA from 1 species
GGGAGGUUGAACAUCCUGCAUAGUGCUGCCAGGAAAUCCCUAUUUCAUACUAAGAGGGGAAUGGCUGGUUGCAUAUGUAGGAUGUCCCAUCUCCCAGCCCACUUCGUCA